GACGAACGCUGGCGGCGUGCCUAAUACAUGCAAGUCGAACGCUGAAGAGAGGAGCUUGCUCUUCUUGGAUGAGUUGCGAGCGGGUGAGUAACGCGUAGGUAACCUGCAUUGUAGCGGGGGAUACCUAUUGGAAACGUUAGCUCAUACAGCAUAAGAAUGGGUGACACAUGUCAUUUAUUUGCAAGGGGCAAUUGCUCCACUACAAGAUGGUCCUGCGUUGUAUUGGCUAGUAGGUGAGGUAACCGCUCACCUAGGCGACGAUUCAUAGCCGGCUGAGGAAGGUGGUCGGCCACACUGGGACGGGGACACGGCCCAGACUCCUACGGGAAGCAGCAGGAGGGGAACUUCGGCAAUGGGGGCAACCCUGACCGAGCAACGCCGCGGGGUGGAAGAAGGGUUUCGGAUCGUAAAGCUCUGUUGUAAGGCAAGAAAGGGUGUGAGAGUGGAAAGUUCACACUGUGACGUUAGCUUACCAGAAAGGGACGGCUAACUACGUG
rnacentral:rRNA from 1 species